AGAGUUUGAUCAUGGCUCAGGACGAACGCUGGCGGCGUGCUUAACACAUGCAAGUCAAGGGGGCCCAGCAAUGGGCAACCGGCGAACGGGUGCGUAACACGUGAGCAAUCUGCCGUUCUUGUGGGGGAUAGCCGGCCCAACGGCCGGGUAAUACCGCAUACGCUUUUCUGGAGACAUCUCCUAGAAAGGAAACCCUUCGGGGGCAAGACGAGGAGCUCGCGGCCUAUCAGCUAGUUGGUGGGGUCAUGGCCCGCCAAGGCGACGACGGGUAGCUGGUCUGAGAGGAUGGCCAGCCACAUUGGGACUGAGAAACGGCCCAGACUCCUACGGGAGGCAGCAGUGGGGAAUCUUGCGCAAUGGCCUAACGGCUGACGCAGCGACGCCGCGUGUGGGAUGACGCCCUUCGGGGUGUAAACCACUGUUGCCCGGGACGAAGAGCGAACUUCAGUUCGCCUGACGGUACCGGGUGAGGAAGCACCGGCUAACUCCGUGCCAGCCGCGGCGGUAAUAC
rnacentral:rRNA from 1 species